rnacentral:rRNA from 1 species
GAUGAACGCUGGCGGCGUGCCUAACACAUGCAAGUCGAACGAAGCGCCUUUUAAGAUUCUUCGGAUGAUUGAUCGGUGACUGAGUGGCGGACGGGUGAGUAACGCGUGGGCAACCUGCCCUGUACAGGGGGAUAACAGUUGGAAACGGCUGCUAAUACCGCAUAAGCGCACGAGAGGACAUCCUCUUGUGUGAAAAACUCCGGUGGUACAGGAUGGGCCCGCGUCUGAUUAGCUGGUUGGCAGGGUAACGGCCUACCAAGGCGACGAUCAGUAGCCGGUCUGAGAGGAAGAACGGCCACAUUGGAACUGAGACACGGUCCAAACUCCUACGGGAGGCAGCAGUGGGGAAUAUUGCACAAUGGGGGAAACCCUGAUGCAGCAACGCCGCGUGAGUGAAGAAGUAUUUCGGUAUGUAAAGCUCUAUCAGCAGGGAAGAUAGUGACGGUACCUGACUAAGAAGCUCCGGCUAAAUACGUGCCAGCAGCCGCGGUAA